ensembl:miRNA
UAUUAUGUUGGUGCAAAAGUAAUUGCGGUUUUUGCCAUUUAAGAGUAAUAGCAAAAGCCGCAAUUACUUUUGCACCAACUCAAUA